AGGUCCGAGGUGGAAGCGUGGCGACACGUGGAGCUGACGGAUACUAAUCGAUCGAGGACUUAACCA
rnacentral:rRNA from 1 species